AUUGAACGCUGGCGGCAUGCCUUACACAUGCAAGUCGAACGGUAACAGGUCUUCGGAUGCUGACGAGUGGCGAACGGGUGAGUAAUACAUCGGAACGUGCCUAGUAGUGGGGGAUAACUACUCGAAAGAGUGGCUAAUGCCGCAUGAGAUUUACGGAUUAAAGCAAGGGAGGGCAAGACCCUGUGCUACUAGAUCGGCCGAUGGCAGAUUAGGUAGUUGGUGGGAUAAAAGCUUACCAAGGCGACGAUCUGUAGCUGGUCUGAGAGGACGAUCAGCCACACUGGGACUGAGACACGGCCCAGACUCCUACGGGAGGCAGCAGUGGGGAAUUUUGGACAAUGGGCGAAAGCCUGAUGCAGCAAUGCCGCGUGCAGGAUGAAGGCCUUCGGGUUGUAAACUGCUUUUGUACGGAACGAAAAGCCCCGGGUUAAUACCCUGGGGUCAUGACGGUACCGUAAGAAUAAGCACCGGCUAAUUACGUGCCAGCCGCCGCCGUAA
rnacentral:rRNA from 1 species